rnacentral:rRNA from 1 species
AAGCCGUUCUCAGUUCGGAUCGGAGUCUGCAACCCGACUCCGUGAAGCUGGAUUCGCUAGUAAUCGCGCAUCAGCCAUGGCGCGGUGAAUACGUUCCCGGGUCUUGUACACACCGCCCGUCACACCAUGGGAGUUAGGAAUACCCGAAGCCUGUGAGCCAACUUUAUAAGAGGCAGCAGUCGAAGGUAGAACUAAUGAUUGGGGUGAAGUCGUAACAAGGUAAC